UACGUAGGGUGCGAGCGUUGUCCGGAAUUAUUGGGCGUAAAGAGCUUGUCGGCGGUUUGUCGCGUCUGCCGUGAAAAUCCGGGGCUCAACCCCGGACUUGCGGUGGGUACGGGCAGACUAGAGUGUGGUAGGGGAGACUGGAAUUCCUGGUGUAGCGGUGAAAUGCGCAGAUAUCAGGAGGAACACCGAUGGCGAAGGCAGGUCUCUGGGCCACUACUGACGCUGAGAAGCGAAAGCGUGGGGAGCGAACAGG
rnacentral:rRNA from 1 species